rnacentral:rRNA from 1 species
UCUGGGGAUACUGCCAGACUCGAGGUCGAGAGAGGUCGGAGGUACUUCUGGGGUAGCGGUGAAAUGCUAUAAUCCUAGGGGGACCACCAGGGUUAAAUCCUGUAAUCCUGGGAGGACCACCUGUGGCGAAGGCGCCUACCUAGAACGGGUCCGACGGUGAGGGACGAAACCUAGGGGAGCGAACGGGAUUAGAUACCCCGGUAGUCCUAGGCGUAAACGAUGCCCGCUUGGUGUUACGGGCCUUUUGGGGGCCUGUAGUGCCGGAGCGUAGGUGUUAAGCGGGCCACCUGGGGAGUACGGUCGCAAGGCUGAAACUUAAGGGAAUUGGCGGGGGAGCACACAAGAGGUGAAGACUGCGGUUUAAUUGGAUUCAACGCCGGGCAUCUCACGGGGAUCGACGGCAGAAUGAAGGUCAGUCUGAAGGGCUUACCAGACAAGCCGAGAGGAGGUGCAUGGCCAUCGUCAGCUCGUACCGUGAGGCGUGCGCUUAAGUGCGUUAACGAGCGAGACCCACGCUCCAUGUUGCUACCUCGCGAGAGGGCACUCAUGGAGGACCGCUGCUGAUA